rnacentral:lncRNA from 1 species
UUCCAGAAACACUUUAAACCAUACUCUACCCUAACAAUGGUUGGACAAAACUAUUACAUUUUGGAUAUUCAAAUUUGGACGGAUUUUAUAUAAAUUUUACUGGCCACCAAUGUCCUUUAAUCUAUUAAAUUUUGGAGUGAUAUACAAAAACUAAAGGCAAUACUUCUAAAAACAAAUCUGGACUCGAACACAGUUGUACUUUGUUAAAACCUUUGUUAGAAUCUUAAUAACAUUAGCACUAAACUUUACCAAAUUCAUCAGUGAAAAAAUAUUG